rnacentral:rRNA from 1 species
GACGAACGCUGGCGGCGUGCUUAACACAUGCAAGUCGAACGCUGAAGCUCAGCUUGCUGGGUGGAUGAGUGGCGAACGGGUGAGUAACACGUGAGUAACCUGCCCUCUUCUUUGGGAUAACGCCCGGAAACGGGUGCUAAUACUGGAUAUUCACUGAUUCUCGCAUGGGUGUUGGUGGAAAGGUUUUUUCUGGUGGGGGAUGGGCUCGGGGCCUAUCAGCUUGUUGUUGGGGUGAUGGCCUACCAAGGCUUUGACGGGUAGCCGGCCUGAGAGGUUGACCGGUCACAUUGGGACUGAGAUACGGCCCAGACUCCUACGGGAGGCAGCAGUGGGGAAUAUUGCACAAUGGGCGAAAGCCUGAUGCAGCGACGCCGCGUGAGAGAUGGAGGCCUUCGGGUUGUAAACCUCUUUCGCUCAUGGUCAAGCCGCAGCUUUGGGUUGUGGUGAGGGUAGUGGGUAAAGAAGCGCCGGCUAACUACGUG